UACGUAGGGUGCAAGCGUUAAUCGGAAUUACUGGGCGUAAAGCGUGCGCAGGCGGUUGUGUAAGACAGAUGUGAAAUCCCCGGGCUCAACCUGGGAACUGCAUUUGUGACUGCAUGGCUGGAGUGCGGCAGAGGGGGAUGGAAUUCCGCGUGUAGCAGUGAAAUGCGUAGAGAUGUGGAGGAACACCGAUGGCGAAGGCAGCCCCCUGGGCCGACACUGACGCUCAGGCACGAAAGCGUGGGGAGCAAACAGG
rnacentral:rRNA from 1 species